rnacentral:rRNA from 1 species
ACUCCUACGGGAGGCAGCAGUGGGGAAUAUUGCACAAUGGGGGAAACCCUGAUGCAGCCAUGCCGCGUGUGUGAAGAAGGCCUCGGUUGUAAAGCACUUCAGUAGGGAGGAAGGUAGUGUAGUUAACACCUGCACUAUUUGACGUUACCUACAGAAGAAGCACCGGCUAACUCCGUGCCAGCAGCCGCGGUAAUACGGAGGGGUGCGAGCGUUAAUCGGAAUUACUGGGCGUAAAGCGCAUGCAGGCGGCCUGUUAAGUCAGAUGUGAAAGCCCGGGGGCUUAACCUCGGAAUUGCAUUUGAAACUGGCAGGCUAGAGUCUUGUAGAGGGGGUUA